GACGAACGCUGGCGGCGCGCCUAACACAUGCAAGUCGAACGAGAGAGAGGAAGCUUGCUUCCUUAAUCGAGUGGCGGACGGGUGAGUAACGCGUGAGCAACCUGCCUCCUCAGGAGGGGGAUAACGUUUGGAAACGAACGCUAAUACCGCAUAACAUAUCUUUACCGCAUGAGUAGAGAUAUCAAAGGAGCAAUCCGCUGGAGAGAUGGGCUCGCGUCCGAUUAGCUAGUUGGUGGGGUAACGGCCUACCAAGGCGACGAUCAGUAGCCGGACUGAGAGGUUGAACGGCCACAUUGGGACUGAGAUACGGCCCAG
rnacentral:rRNA from 1 species